rnacentral:rRNA from 1 species
GCCUAAUAAUGCAAGUCGAACGCACUCUCGUUUAGAUUGAAGGAGCUUGCUCCUGAUUGAUAAACAUUUGAGUGAGUGGCGGACGGGUGAGUAACACGUGGGUAACCUGCCCUAAAGUGGGGGAUAACAUUUGGAAACAGAUGCUAAUACCGCAUAAAACCUAACACCGCAUGGUGUAGGGUUGAAAGAUGGUUUCGGCUAUCACUUUAGGAUGGACCCGCGGUGCAUUAGUUAGUUGGUGAGGUAAAGGCUCACCAAGACCGUGAUGCAUAGCCGACCUGAGAGGGUAAUCGGCCACACUGGGACUGAGACACGGCCCAGACUCCUACGGGAGGCAGCAGUAGGGAAUCUUCCACAAUGGACGAAAGUCUGAUGGAGCAACGCCGCGUGAGUGAAGAAGGUUUUCGGAUCGUAAAACUCUGUUGUUGGAGAAGAAUGUAUCUGAUAGUAACUGAUCAGGUAGUGACGGUAUCCAACCAGAAAGCCACGGCUAACUACGUGCCAGCAGCCGCGGUAAUACGUAGGUGGCAAGCGUUGUCCGGAUUUAUUGGGCGUAAAGCGAGCGCAGGCGGUUUCUUAAGUCUGAUGUGAAAGCCUUCGGCUCAACCGAAGAAGUGCAUCGGAAACUGGGAAACUUGAGUGCAGAAGAGGACAGUGGAACUCCAUGUGUAGCGGUGAAAUGCGUAGAUAUAUGGAAGAACACCAGUGGCGAAGGCGGCUGUCUGGUCUGUAACUGACGCUGAGGCUCGAAAGCAUGGGUAGCAAACAGGAUUAGAUACCCUGGUAGUCCAUGCCGUAAACGAUGAGUGCUAGGUGUUGGAGGGUUUCCGCCCUUCAGUGCCGCAGCUAACGCAUUAAGCACUCCGCCUGGGGAGUACGACCGCAAGGUUGAAACUCAAAGGAAUUGACGGGGGCCCGCACAAGCGGUGGAGCAUGUGGUUUAAUUCGAAGCAACGCGAAGAACCUUACCAGGUCUUGACAUCCUUUGACCACUCUAGAGAUAGAGCUUUCCCUUCGGGGACAAAGUGACAGGUGGUGCAUGGUUGUCGUCAGCUCGUGUCGUGAGAUGUUGGGUUAAGUCCCGCAACGAGCGCAACCCUUAUUACUAGUUGCCAGCAUUUAGUUGGGCACUCUAGUGAG